rnacentral:rRNA from 1 species
UAAUACAGAGGGUGCGAGCGUUGUCCGGAAUCACUGGGCGUAGAGGGCGCGUAGGCGGCCUGGUAAGUAGGGGGUGAAAUCCCGUGGCUCAACUGCGGGACGGCCUCCUAGACUGCCUGGCUCGAGCACGGUAGAGGCAGGUGGAAUUCCCGGUGUAGCGGUGGAAUGCGUAGAGAUCGGGAAGAACAUCGGUGGCGAAGGCGGCCUGCUGGGCCGUUGCUGACGCUGAGGCGCGACAGCGUGGGGAGCAAACAG